rfam:Triticum aestivum genome assembly, contig: Triticum_aestivum_CS42_TGACv1_scaffold_374009_5AL
AUUAUACUCCCUCCGUUGCACAAUACUACAUGCCUUCUAUUUGACAAAAUAUAAAUGUAUCUAGACAUGUCUUAGUAUAUAGGUACAUCCAUUUUUGGACAAAUGGAAGUCAAGUAUUUUGGAACGGAGGGAGUACACA